AUUGAACGCUGGCGGCAGGCCUAACACAUGCAAGUCGAGCGAGCGGCGGACGGGUGAGUAAUGUAUGGGGACUGCCCGAUAGAGGGGGAUAACUACUGGAAACGGUGGCUAAUACCGCAUACUAUCGGAUAACCCAUAUGGGAUUAGCUAUUAGGUGGGGGAAAGGCUCACCUAGGAGACGAUCGCUAGCUGGUCUGAGAGGAUGAUCAGCCACACGGGGACGGAGACACGGCCCAGCCUCCUACGGAGGCAGCAUUGGGUAAUAUUGCACAAUGGGCGCAAUCCUGAUUCAGCCAUGCCGCGUGUAUGAAGAAGGCCUUAGGGUUGUAAAGUACUUUCAGCGGGGAGGCGUUACCCGCAGAAGAAGCACCGGCUAACUCCGUGCCAGCAGCCGCGGUAAUUC
rnacentral:rRNA from 1 species